UACGUAGGGGGCGAGCGUUGUCCGAAGUUACUGGGCGUAAAGAGCGCGUAGGCGGACCCUUAAGUGAGGGGUGAAAGGUUCGGGCUCAACCCGGAGAGUGCCUUUCAUACUGGGGGUCUUGAGUGCGGGAGAGGCAAGUGGAAUGGUCGGUGUAGCGGUGAAAUGCGUAGAGAUGCGGAGGAACACCGAUGGCGAAGGCAGCCCCCUGGGCUAACACUGACGCUCAGGCACGAAAGCGUGGGGAGCAAACAGG
rnacentral:rRNA from 1 species